CUUUCAUUGGAAAAAAAAAACUCUGUUCAAUCAGUAGUUCAAAUGCAACUUUAAGGUUUUGGUGAAAUGGGGAUCUGAACUUUGAAAAUAGUGAGUCAUUACUAUAGAUGAGAUCUCUCCCUCUGUGUGUGUGUUUAGUUGGCGUACGCAAAACUCUUGUUGUAUUGGUUAAUGUAGAUGAUUAGUGAUACAAUGUCUUGAGAUCUUUAUCUGUACACUUCUAGAUUUUUAUCCUCCCAUUUUUGUUUUGGAAAGGGCUAAAGAUUGGCUUCCUCAAGAUUGCAGAUCUUGGUCUUCGAAGGGUCGUGUUAGUCAAAAGAUAAACAACCACGAGGUGUUCGAGUUCGAAGAGAAGAUCAAUAUUUCCUCACAAUUUGAUGAAGAUGGAGAUUACAAUGGUGCCGCUGGAACUUAGUUGAAGUUUUUCCCUUAAUACUUCCCGUUUUGUGUCAAGACAUGUGGGCAACUUUUGGGAUAGUAAGAUUGUUUCACUGCCAUUCUCUUUCAAAAUGUUGGUAGGACAUGAAGGCUUGCUAUUGAAUUUGUUUAAUUUAAAGUUACUUGAUGUUAGAUGGAAAUAUAUUUCUCUUUUGUUUUGAAUGGAAUCCUGGGUGAAUUUAUGUGUAGCUUAUUGGUUCAUUUA